rnacentral:lncRNA from 1 species
AUGGUGUGCAUCCAUCAGGGUAAAAGAGGCACAUGGCUCAGGUCUGCCUGCAAAAGGCUUCUGAGUGUGGGGAGCAGGGGGGUGCUCAGUGAAUACAUUACCUGUUCUCCUGCAUGCUCCCUCAGACCAUCCUUUUCAGUCUUUCAAGCCAAGCGUUUUCCCCUGAUGCCGGGCUUUCUCUCCUUCUCGCUCCCGCCCAGCACACUUACUUUCUGCCAGCCUGUCUGUCUGUGUAUCUGUCUCCGCACCCAUCUCCACUCUCCCCACUGGCUCCUUCUCCCUGAGAAGAGGGGGAGGCGAGUGGGGACUCAGAACAGGGUGCAGCCCCCGGGGCUCGGCCUGGAGAGGAGGGACGGUGACAUCUGCUGGGUGACUGCUGAAUCCGCCUGGCCCUGCCGGGUUUCUGGACCUUUCCGGGCAGAACUGCUUCCGCUGAUACUCUUCCAUCUGGGGGGAAGGAGCCCCGAGGUGGAGUUCCCUGCACCCAGUGCCUGCGCCCACCAGCCAUCUGGCCCCUUUCAUCAUUUCCCCUUCACCCUGUGGGGGGUCCCCAAGACCAGCACAAAUACUCUGAGAUUUUUAGGGCUUGGAUACUGUUUCCGAGAAGCCUGGGAUCUCCCAAAGAAGAGGAUUGAGCUGGGCUUGACUGGGUGACCACAGCCCCUCUGAGACACACCCUGGAAGAGGGGGCCAGCCCUCGGUGAGGAGGAAGGCCCCAGGUGUGGGGCUCUCCAGGCCCAGCCUCUGCCCGCUGAAGCACUCACCAUCUGGGGGCUGUGGGCGGUGGCGGCCCUUCCAAGCGGGCCUCAUGACUGUGGCGCCCUCUGGCGGUGGCUGCCGCAGGAAGUAACGGUGCAGCUGUCCGCACAGGUCAGGACGCAAGGUUCCUGUAAACCUCCAACCAGACAAAUGUUACUCUCUGUUCUGCAACUUUUUACCUCUAUAGGAAUGGCAAAGUGUUAUGUCUUUAAGGUCAGAACCUUGAGAAUGGCUCUCUGGCGUGUUUCAGGCUAUAGGCAGCAUUCCUAACUGGAAGCAAAAGCAAGAGAAUACAAAGGUUAGGCCAAACAGACCUGAUACGGAGCCAGAUUUGUUCUUCCCUAUCACAAGGGGACCACGUUGGCACCAGGACACAGCAGUAGGUAAGCACAGUCCCCGCCCUCAUGAUGCCUCUGUUCAAUGAGGAGACAGACCUCAAACACGCUCUAAAGGGUGCCGGUAAAGCGGGACCAGCCCUCUGAAGACAAAAUCAAGGACUGAAUUGACAGGGCGGGGCAUCUAGAACAGCUGAGAGGGCUGGGGAGACCUCUUUGUGGGACCCACUUGCCAUCUAAAGAGAUAGCCACGGAAGGAGAGGAGGGGAGCAAGGAGUGGGGAGAGAGGAGGCGGGGAGGAAUGGAAGGAAAGGGCCAAGACCAGAAAAAGCUUGGAGCCUGAGGAACUGAAGUGAAUUCAUGGCUGCUGAAGUGUAGCGUAGCAGGAGGUUAAACCAAGGGAUCCUGGCCAAAGUAAGAAGUGUGGUUCACAUAGAAAAUGGGCCACUUUUCUGUUUCCCUGUCACCAGGCUGCAGAAACUCUUCCGUGUGCCCAUUCGGCAGAGAGACAAAGCUGUGAGGUCACCUCUCCCUCCCUCCCACUCCACCACUGGCCAACU